rnacentral:tRNA from 1 species
AUCCCGGUGGCCUAAUGGAUAAGGCGUUGGCCUCCUAAGCCGGGGACAGUGGGUUCGAGUCCCAUCUGGGGUG